rnacentral:misc_RNA from 1 species
GUAGGUGAACCUGCGGAAGGAUCAUUAACAUUUUUUUAACACACCUCUUCUCCUCAAAAAAGAAGAGACCUGUGUUUCUAAAACUCCAACUCUAAAUUACGUCAAAGAGAAAAAAAAAAGAAGAGAAAUCUUUCUUUCUCUUUCUCUUUACACCUCCCCUAUUUUUUAUACAAACCACAAAAACAAUUAUUUUCUCUUCAAUUCUUUGAUCUGAAACAUAAACAAAAAAUCAUGUUUUUUUGCCCGAAAGGAACAAAAACAAUGAAAUUUUACGAAAUGCUGAACAACUCUUAACAACGGAUAUCUUGGUUCUC